CCAAACCUGGUUGAUCCUGCCAGUAGUCAUAUGCUUGUCUCAAAGAUUAAGCCAUGCAUGUCUAAGUAUAAGCCUUUACACGGUGAGACUGCGAAUGGCUCAUUAAAUCAGAAACUGUUUACUUGAUAGUGCCUACUACAAGGAUAACUGUAGUAAUUCUAGAGCUAAUACUUGCAAAAAGCCUGAACUUCUGGA
rnacentral:rRNA from 1 species